GGCCAGACUCCUACGGGAGGCAGCAGUGAGGAAUAUUGGUCAAUGGGCGCGAGCCUGAACCAGCCAAGUAGCGUGAAGGAUGACUGCCCUACGGGUUGUAAACUUCUUUUAUAAAGGAAUAAAGUGAGGCACGUGUGCCUUUUUGUAUGUACUUUAUGAAUAAGGAUCGGCUAACUCCGUGCCAGCAGCCGCGGUAAUACGGAGGAUCCGAGCGUUAUCCGGAUUUAUUGGGUUUAAAGGGAGCGUAGAUGGGUUGUUAAGUCAGUUGUGAAAGUUUGCGGCUCAACCGUAAAAUUGCAAUUGGUACUGGCAGCCUUGAGUACAGUUGAGGUAGGCGGAAUUCGUGGUGUAGCGGUGAAAUGCUUAGAUAUCACGAAGAACUCCGAUUGCGAAGGCAGCUUACCAGUCUGCGACUGACGCUCAGGCACGAAAGUGUGGGUAUCGAACAGGAUUAGAUACCCUCGUA
rnacentral:rRNA from 1 species